UCCGAGUUGACCCCGGCAGUCUCCUAUGAGUCCCCGCCAUUACGCGCUGGCAACAUAGAACGAGGGUUGCGCUCGUUGCGGGACUUAACCCAACAUCUCACGACACGAGCUGACGACAACCAUGCACCACCUGUACGCAGCCCUUGCGGACCCGACAUCUCUGCCGGAUUUCUGCGCAUGUCAAGCCUUGGUAAGGUUCUUCGCGUUGCAUCGAAUUAAGCCACAUGCUCCGCCGCUUGUGCGGGCCCCCGUCAAUUCCUUUGAGUUUUAGCCUUGCGGCCGUACUCCCCAGGCGGGGCGCUUAAUGCGUUAGCUGCGGCACGGAACCCGUGGAAGGGACCCCACACCUAGCGCCCAACGUUUACGGCGUGGACUAC
rnacentral:misc_RNA from 1 species